rnacentral:rRNA from 1 species
CCUACGGGUGGCAGCAGUGAGGAAUAUUGGUCAAUGGUCGGAAGCCUGAACCAGCCAAGUCGCGUGAGGGAAUAAGGCCCUACGGGUCGUAAACCUCUUUUGCCGGGGAGCAAGGGCGGGGACGUGUCCCCGCCCGGAUAGUACCCGGAGAAAAAGCAUCGGCUAACUCCGUGCCAGCAGCCGCGGUAAUACGGAGGAUGCGAGCGUUAUCCGGAUUUAUUGGGUUUAAGGGGUGCGUAGGCGGGCUUUUAAGUCAGCGGUAAAAAUUCGGGGCUCAACCCCGGCCGGCCGUUGAAACUGGGGGCCUUGAGUGGGCGAGAAGAAGGCGGAAUGCGUGGUGUAGCGGUGAAAUGCAUAGAUAUCACGCAGAACCCCGAUUGCGAAGGCAGCCUGCCGGCGCCCUACUGACGCUGAGGCACGAAAGCGUGGGUAUCGAACAGGAUUAGAUACCCGGGUAGUC